UUCGGUGGUGGCAAUGGCGGCGAGGAGAAUAGUGUGGCCGGACCAUAGGAGAGGGGUGGUAUUAUAUUUGCGCAGGGUCGCCCGAUAGGGCGCAGUAUCGUCGCGACCGCCGUCACGUGCACGUCGAUUUUCUCUAGGUUUACGUGUCUAGACCGCGAGUGCUUCUGCACCGUUCAGAACGUUGCUUGCCCUCUUUGUCGGUCGUAGUUUAUAUUCGGCUUCCUUCUUCCUCUCUUUUAUCUUCUCCUUACUACUGCCUUACAUCUCUCUACAUCUUUAUUGUAUUCACUCUCGAUCUCUCUGUUUGUUUUUUUUUAUCUCUCGUUCCCUAAACCUCUGCCUAUACGUUCCAUGCGUAUCUGCACUCCUGUUCUUUUUUAAUCGUUCGCGCGCGAUCGUCCUGCAAACCGUGUUUCGUACUUCAUGUUUCGUUAGCCGAGUUCAUACGGCUGAACCGUACACAACAACAACAACAACAACAACAACAAGAACAACAACAGAUACCGUGAGUCGAAGCGAGUCAUCGAGCAGAAAUCGCGAAGUGUUCUGGCCCAAGAGUGGAACCAUUUAAACAGUAGAGAAUUCAUUAACGUCUGAAGCGAUUGUAUAACUGCAAAGAAAUCGUUAAUGUUGUCCACAUUAAAUUCGAGAGGAUUUGCAAGGAAACGUGCAAAUUCUUAAAAGGAGAAAGAAAAACGGACGGUAAGAGGAAUAAAGGAGGCGAAAACUAUCCUAGUAAUCCCAUUGGAUAGAGGUCAAUGGAGCCAUCCUGAUGCAGGCUGCAAAACUACGUGGGGAUUACCCGUCGUGGUCGUCGGGCUGAUUUCAAAGGUGAACAGUGGUGCUUCCACCCGUGGGUAGAAACACCGUUUUCAUCACCGUCACCGGCAAAUAGUGCAGCCACUUCCGCUUCCUCCACCCCACGUGGCCGAACCAUUACCU